CAGACUAAUACAUUCCAAGCGGUGCUCAUCACUGAUGGAACCUACACAUUUCUAAAGUACCAUUACCCUUGCAACGCCCUUCAGUGGGCAUCGCCGAAAUUUUAUGAAUUGUUUCCGACCGAGUUUUCCGGCUAUCCUGUGGCAGGCAUAAACGCUGGUGAUGGAAAUCUGGAAGAUACGGAGCGAUUCUUUAGCCUCGAAGGGUCGGCUUCUCCAGGGAUAACGAGCCUCGACCUCAGGAAAGAAAAUGCAGACAAAGACGGAGAGUAUUUCUUUAGACUUGAACGCAGAACAGGCGACGACCCUGAAACAAAAUGCAGGAAGUGGUCUGACUGGCAAGAAACAAAUCUAAAACCCGAGAUUUCGAUCGCUGAUAACUUUAUCCCAGGUUGUCCCUGUACAUUUGACCAAGCGUUUCUUUCUACCUCCUAUUUUCGAACUUUCUUCCUUGCGUCAGUCAGCAUUUGUUUCGAAAGCA